GGGCCGUUAGCUCAUUUGGCAGAGCGCUACUAUGGCAUAGUAGAGGUGACCGGUUCGAUCCCGGUACGGUCCACCA
rnacentral:tRNA from 1 species